rnacentral:lncRNA from 1 species
AAAAUAUUCAAUAUCUUCCAAUGUGAUUUUUCACAACUUACCCAAAUAUUUGCGAAUCGAGAUCCAACUAAAUCUAAUGUUUGUUGUGAACCCAAGGAAUUCAAGUGUUACCUUCAACCUAAGAUCGAACAAUGGUCAACAAUUAAUCCAACCAAUUACUUGAAUUCGUUUUGGAAACAACUACAACCCAAACUUCAAUUUUUAUCAAUAAAAAUUCAACCACUCACAGUAAAAUAGAGGCAGCAGUGAGCGAAUCUACACGAAAACUCUCGUGCAAAACAGAACCCGCAGCUGGCUUGGAAAAGAGGCUCGACGCGCGGCUCACGGGUGGCUAACUUCAAGGAGCAGACCAACCCGAAUGAUAGUGGAUGGCUUGGUCGGAUGGAGAGAAGAAUGGGCGGCUUGGAUCUGGUGCCUUCAGCUUGGGUUCGACUCAGGUUCACAGUAGGCACCUGACGACGGUUGCUUAACAGGUAGCGGAUGAAGACCUGAUGGAGUUGGUGGUUGGCGGAUGAAGACGCUGCAGACGAUCCCCGACCAAUAGAUGAAGAACCACACGAACAAAACUGGUACACGACAGUUCAGGACGUGAUGAGCUAGGCAGUCGACGUGAGAUCGAAAGGUGGUUGGCUGUAGAAUAGAACGGAAAAUAGAAAGAAGAAGAGAAGAAGGUAGGUUGCUGCUGGGUAGGUUACGGGAAAAGGGAGAAGGAGAAACAAGAUGGUGGGGGUGUUGCAUCCUGUGAGAGAGGGGAGAGAGAAAGAAAAAAAAACAUUUAUUUUUUAAAAUUUUAAAUAAUAAUAAUAAAAUAUUAUUAUUAUUACUA